rnacentral:rRNA from 1 species
AGAGCGAACGCUGGCGGCAGGCCUAACACAUGCAAGUCGAGCGGCCGUAGCAAUACGGCAGCGGCAGACGGGAGAGUAACACGUGGGAACGUACCCUUUGGUUCGGAACAACACAGGGAAACUUGUGCUAAUACCGGAUAAGCCCUUACGGGGAAAGAUUUAUCGCCAAAAGGAUCGGCCCGCGUCUGAUUAGCUAGUUGGUGGGGUAACGGCCCACCAAGGCUACGAUCAGUAGCUGGUCUGAGAGGAUGAUCAGCCUCACUGGGACUGAGACACGGCCCAGACUCCUACGGGAGGCAGCAGUGGGGAAUAUUGGACAAUGGGCGCAAGCCUGAUCCAGCCAUGCCGCGUGGGUGAUGAAGGCCCUAGGGUUGUAAAGCCCUUUCGGCGGGAAGAUAAUGACGGUACCGCAGAAGAAGCCCGGCUAACUCGCGCCAGCAGCCGC